GGAGCUCGGGGCGGCGGAUCUGGACGUUGGCGGGGAUGGAGUGGAGGUGGUGGUGGUUGCGGUGGCCGUGGCCGUGGUGGAGGUGCGGGCCGAGGCGGCGGACGCGGAACACGGUGACGACCGUGGCAACGUGGGGGACGCUGCGGAGGUGGUGGGCGGCGCCGUCGCCGCCGCUGGGGUUGGGGUCGGCCGGGAAGGCGACGAGGAAGGUGCGGUGUGGCCGCGCGUCGGCGGCGAGGAUGUACGCGGCGGCGACGACGAGCAGCAGGAGGAGGCGGUGGGCGGCCAUGGCGGGCAGGCGGCGGCGGAGUGCCUGAUUUGCGUCUGGGGAAGGGAAGAAGGUGGGCUCGGAGAAAAUGGAGCUCGCAGUCGACUCUGCAAGUCUGCAGCCGGG
rnacentral:lncRNA from 1 species